CAGUCGCCACGGGAAAACGAAGGGGGCUAGCGUUGCUCGGAAUGACUGGGCGUAAAGGGCGCGUAGGCGGCGAUCAAAGUCAGGCGUGAAAUUCCUGGGCUCAACCUGGGGGCUGCGUUUGAUACUUGAUUGCUAGAGUGGGGAAGAGGGUCGUGGAAUUCCCAGUGUAGAGGUGAAAUUCGUAGAUAUUGGGAAGAACACCGGUGGCGAAGGCGGCGACCUGGUCCUUGACUGACGCUGAGGCGCGAAGGCGUGGGGAGCAAACAGGAUUAGAGACCCCCGUAGUCCCUGUCUCUUAUAC
rnacentral:rRNA from 1 species